rnacentral:rRNA from 1 species
UACGUAGGGAGCAAGCGUUGUCCGGAAUCAUUGGGCGUAAAGCGCGCGUGGGCGGCCCUGUAAGUCCGUUGUGAAAGUCCAGGGCUCAACCCUGGGAUGCCGGUGGAUACUGUCGGGCUCGAGUCCGGAAGAGGAGUGUGGAAUUCCUGGUGUAGCGGUGAAAUGCGCAGAUAUCAGGAGGAACACCAAUGGCGAAGGCAGCACUCUGGGACGUGACUGACGCUGAGACGCGAAAGCGUGGGGAGCAAACAGG